UCUCGGCCCAUAUUGCCGCGCGGCAGCCCCCACCCGCGGGAUAAUUUGAGACUCAAAUCCCAGCAAAGACCUGCUACAAAUUGCUGCAAAUUAAGCUGAUUUUGCCCCGAAUGAGGGAUUUUCUGCUGCAGAUCAGCCCUUCCCGGGAGCUGAUGAGGUCACUGAUAAAAUAAUGAUGAGCCAGGAAUCCAUCCCUGGGGGACCCCUGGCCACACACCCGCUUGAUGAUGAAUCCCCAUUCACAUUUUGAGACCUAUCAGGCAACAGGGAACAGCUAAUAUGAAAAUGUGUAUAUGGGAACCAGAAAUGACCAGUGUCCAGUUCUUACCACUCAGCAGCCAUGGACAGAAAAGAUGCUUUGUCUGGUGUCUAGUUCCUACUCCCAAGCACAGGAGAUUCUUUGCCUGGUAUCAGUCCCCAAGCCAUAAAGAGCCCUGCUCGUAGGAUAUGUUUCAGCUGUUGCCAAGUCCCUGCCACAGAGGAAACCCAGGCAAAGGAAGUAUUUUACGAACAGCUGCUCACUGCCUCGGUUGAAGAUGCUCCACCCAAAGAAUAUGGAUAUGUUCUACCACCGAUGAUGAGGAAAAAGAAGAGCAUGGAUAUUUCUGUGUCUGUAAUAAGUACCAGGCACAUGGGAAAAAUGAGACAUACACAUUUUGGUGAAUGGUGAAGACGCAGAGCGAAAUUCUGGCUCCUCUGAAGUCAGUGACAAAACUCCCAUUGACUUCAGUGGAGCCAGGAUUUGACACUCUGGUUUAAUGGAUGUAAGUGGAAAAUGAUGGGAUCAUUCUCAAUAGAUAAAAUAAUGAGUACUGCUCAGUACCUCCCUAGCUCCUUACUAAACACUGUACUGACAUUAAAUAAUAUUUAAAACCCCACCAGUGGGGCAGGCAAGUAUUACAAUGGACUAACAACUACUAAUGGGAAACAUUCUGAAAUGCAUGUAAAAAUGUUAUAUUCCAUCACCCUCCUUGUAUCUUGUGUAUCCUACUGAAUAGUUAUAAAAAUCAA